rnacentral:lncRNA from 1 species
UGCCCAAGGCUAAGUUGUCUGGGAUAAGACCUACUGAUAUAGUGGACCACGUGCCCGAGUGCCCGAGCACUCGGGAGUGCCACGCAUGUGGCCCUCUAGGCUUGCGCAAAACCAAAUGCACACGCACAGGCUCUAGGUCUAAAUAAGCUCAUCCCGUGCGGAUGGACCUGCGAACGGUCCAGCAAAACGGCCGAAGCCCGCCACCCU